GGGGCCAUAGCUCAGCCGGGAGAGCGCCUGCUUUGCACGCAGGAGGUCAGGAGUUCGAUCCUCCUUGGCUCCACCA
rnacentral:tRNA from 1 species